rnacentral:rRNA from 1 species
GGGAUUGCCUCAGUAACGGCGAGUGAAGCGGCAACAGCUCAAAUUUUAAAGCUGACGUCUUUGGCGUCCGCGUUGUAAUUUGGAGAGGCAUCUUCGGUUUGGGCGCCAGCCUAUGUUCCUUGGAACAGGACGUCACAGAGGGUGAGAAUCCCGUGCCUGGCUGGCUGUCCCUUUCCAUGUGAAGUGCCUUCGACGAGUCGAGUUGUUUGGGAAUGCAGCUCAAAAUGGGUGGUAAAUUUCAUCUAAAGCUAAAUAUUGGCGGGAGACCGAUAGCGCACAAGUAGAGUGAUCGAAAGAUGAAAAGCACUUUGAAAAUAGAGUUAAAAAGUACGUGAAAUUGUUGAAAGGGAAGCGCUUGAGACCAGACUCGGCCGGAGAUGAUCAGCCGUCCUUCUGGGCGGUGCACUCGUUUCCGGCCGGGCCAGCAUCGGUUGAGACGGCGGGAUAAAGGCCCGGGGAAUGUGGCUCCUUUCGGGGAGUGUUAUAGCCCCGGGCGCAAUGCCGCCAGCCUCGACCGAGGACCGCGCUUCAUUGCUAGGAUGCUGGCGUAAUGGUCUUCAGCGACCCGUCUUGAAACACGGACCAAGGAGUCUAACAUCUAUGCGAGUGUUUGGGUGUCAAACCCUUGCGCGUAAUGAAAGUGAACGGAGGUGGGAACCCCUCGCGGGGCGCACCAUCGACCGGUCCUGAUGUCUUCGGAUGGAUCUGAGUAGGAGCAUAGCUGUUGGGACCCGAAAGAUGGUGAACUAUGCCUGAAUAGGGUGAAGCCAGAGGAAACUCUGGUGGAGGCUCGCAGCGGUUCUGACGUGCAAAUCGAUCGUCAAAUUUGGGUAUAGGGGCGAAAGACUAAUCGAACC